GGACGAACGCUGGCGGCGUGCUUAACACAUGCAAGUCGAGCGGUAAGGCCCUUUCGGGGGUUACGACGAGCGGCGAACGGGUGAGUAACACGUGGGUGACCUGCCCUUAGCUCUGGGAUAAGCCUGGGAAACUGGGUCUAAUACCGGAUAUGACUCCAUGACGCAUGUUGUGGGGUGGAAAGCCUUGUGCGGCUAGGGAUGGGCCCGCGGCCUAUCAGCUUGUUGGUGGGGUGAUGGCCUACCAAGGCGACGACGGGUAGCCGGCCUGAGAGGGCGACCGGCCACACUGGGACUGAGACACGGCCCAGACUCCUACGGGAGGCAGCAGUGGGGAAUCUUGCGCAAU
rnacentral:rRNA from 1 species